AAACAAAGUCAGCCACAAAUUAUUGAGGUCAGGCAGUGGUGGCAGAUGGAUCUCUCUGAGUUCAAGGCCACCCAGGCUUACACAAGAUUGAAUCAGUCUAAAAGAGUAACAGAGCUCAUGCCUUUAAUCCCAGGACUCAUGAGAGGUAUUUAAGACAGGAAUGGAUUCAAUAUGAGGUAUUCAUUCUCCAGCAACACUGAGGAGAGGUUGCAGUCUGAGGCUUGGUGAGAGCUCUUGGAGACAGGAUCAGCCCAUUCAGCCUGAAGUAGAGCACCUUAAAAGAAAAACAAAUGAACCAGAUUAACGUGCCAUUGUGGAACGAUGCAUUUGCUAAUGCCCACCAGAUGAAGCCUAAAUGGACACCAUUUCUGAGGAAGACAAGCUUCAGCAAGCUAAAAUCCAUGAGAAAACAGGGUCUCACUGUAUAGCUCUGGCUCAACUGGAACUCAUUCUGUAGACCACGAUAGCCUCAAAGACACGG
rnacentral:lncRNA from 1 species